rnacentral:rRNA from 1 species
ACUCCUACGGGAGGCAGCAGUGGGAAUUUUGGACAAUGGGGAAACCCGUGAUCCAGCCAUGCCGCGUGUAUGAAGAAGGCCUUAGGGUUGUAAAGUACUUUGUUAGGGAAGAAAGCUAGUUUUAAUAAAAUUAGUGAUGACGGUACCUAAAGAAUAAGCACCGGCUAACUACGUGCCAGCAGCCGCGGUAAUACGUAGGGUGCAAGCGUUAAUCGGAAUUAUUGGGCGUAAAGCGAGUGCAGACGGUUACUUAAGCCAGAUGUGAAAUCCCAAGCUUAACUUGGGACGUGCAUUUGGAACUGGGUGACUAGAGUGUGUCAGAGGGAGGUAGAAUUCCACAUGUAGCGGUGGAAUGCGUAGAGAUGUGGAGGAAUACCGAUGGCGAAGGCAGCCUCCUGGGAUAACACUGACGUUGAGGCUCGAAAGCGUGGGGAGCAAACAGGAUUAGAUACCCUGGUAGCUACGAG